AUGCUGGUGUAAAGACGCCAGUAAGUGGAUUGCUAGGCUUGAGGAGAGAUGAAGGACGUGGCAAGCUGCGAUAAGCCCGGGGUAGGCGCACGCGACCUUUGAUCCCGGGAUGUCCGAAUGAGAAUCUUACACAUUUGUGUAUUCCAGUACACUAGUAUUGGAAGUCGAACCGUGGGAAUUGAAGCAUCUUAGUACCACGAGGAAAAGAAA
rnacentral:rRNA from 1 species